rnacentral:snRNA from 1 species
GUGCUCACUUUGGCAGCACAUAUACUAAAAUUGGAACAAUGCAGAGGAGAUUAGCAU